rnacentral:ribozyme from 12 species
GAACAAAAAACGCAGAUGGAUGAAGAGGUGUCUAUGAAAGUUAGCAUCCAUUGGAUGCAGAGAUUGAGGCAUCCUCGUUGUUUUUUCUCUUUUUUUUUUUUUCUUGUUCUUCUUC